rnacentral:rRNA from 1 species
UCGGGUGAGGCAAGCGUUGUUCGGAAUCACUGGGCUUAAAGCGCGUGUAGGCGGCUCGGUAAGUACCUUGUGAAAUCCCUUCUCUCAAUGAAGGAACCGCUUGGUAUACUGCGGGGCUAGAGUGCAGAAGGGGCAACUGGAAUUCUCGGUGUAGCGGUGAAAUGCGUAGAUAUCGAGAGGAACACCUGCGGCGAAGGCGGGUUGCUGGGCUGACACUGACGCUGAGGCGCGAAAGCUAGGGGAGCGAACGGGA